GUGCUGGUCCUAGAUUUCUUCAACAUUGAGUUGGAUCAUCGAACGUUUCUCUUGAAAUAUAACUUGAACUGUGUUAUCAGAUGACAGCCAUGUCCGGUUCUACCGCGGCACUGCAAAGUCCAAGUGCUCAGAUAUCGUCAGCUUCCGACUUGGACUCGUCAAGUGCUCAGACGUCGCAGGCAGCUAUCGGCUCGGCAACGGCAGAUGUUCAGGCGUCAGCUACCGACAUAGAAGUUGCUGCCGCUCGUGCUGAACGUCCUGAGGAAGUAAAUCUCGUCGACGAAUCGACUUCAUCAGAGUAAGUAUUAACUUCCGCAUUCAAGAUCGAGCAGCGCGACACUACUGUUUCCUACACUUUUGUGGCGUCACACUCGCAACAUUAAACAAGGUACUUCACCUAACGUGUCACAAAAAUGUGUUAAAAUCUACUUGCAUGAGAAGUCUCGGCUCAACGGGACACUUCCGCAAUCUUUUACGAAGACGCAGGAUCGCUUGGGAUCAAUACUUUAGGUGUCAACGUUGCUAUCCAUUUUAUGAUGUUCCUGCAACGUGGCAGUGCAAUGUUCCUCCAAUGUUGCUAUGGAACAGUGCCUGAACGUUCCUUAGUCACAUUCGAGCAACAUUACUCAUCCAAGCACCUAUUCCGUAACAUAUAGUCGCGCAAUAUUUUGCAAGACAGUUGUGAACCGUGGUUAAUGUCCCCUUCAUAUACACUCUAAGAAAAAAAGGUUGAAAACGGGUAGAAUCGCAACAGUUCUCCCCGACCUAUUUUCCCUCUACCGACUUCAGGUUGAAGUUGUGCUGUUUCUGCCCUUUUGCUCAACUCUCUCCCCCUAACGGUAGAACCACUGUGGCAAUCUUGGCACUAUUAGGGUUCAAGUGACCCUUUUUUUCUUUUUGUGUGUUUCGUAGCAGGGUUACUAAUGGAAGUGUAAAUGGGGUGACUCAAGCGACGAGAAUAGUUGAGGUUUACUAAUCCUGCGCACAAAGGCGUUUGGUCAAGCUUCGAGGUCACUGUUCAAGAGAUUAGCCAGAGCGACCAAACACAGAGUGCAGAGUGUCUGCGCUUGCGCGGAAUCGAUGAUUGUGUAAAAGGGGUCAGUAUAGAGACGAAUGCUGAAAGUGACAGACUGUCGGUUUGCACGUGGACAUUGCUGCACCGAAGGCCAUGCCUGCGGCCUAAUGGCUAUCCUGAGUCGGGUAUUCGCAUCUGCGUGGUGGAAGGUGUUAUCGGUUCAGCUGCAAUGGUAUGAACAUAAGCAAGGUGGAGUUAGGACAGAAUCAGGUGAGUACUUUUGAUAUUCAAGAUUUUUCUUCCUGAGCGUCUUAUAUGCAGUGAUCAGAUGCGUUUUGCGUGUUCGGGUUGAUCGGCAUGUCGUCUGACACUUUUUCAGCAUCCUAUGAAACUGCAAUAUGAGCAAAUGCGUUUGUGUAAUACACGCAGGUCACCAUGACAACUUUAGCACCGUAUCUUAUCAGCGCCCGCCGGAUGUGAUUACAGGAUCCACUUCGAAAAUGAAGAAAUGGAGCCAUAACAUACGGUGAGCCACUGUUUGAUGGGAGAAGGCACUCAUCGCUCGAGUCAUGGUUUUUUAGAUGUGCGCUGUGUUAUUUAUUUAUUUAUUUAUGCUUGGCUUUUGUCCACUGCCGGGUUAGCCUUCUUUUUGCAUGCUUAUUUCUGAGGGAAUCACACAUGUAAACAUAUUUCUGAGGAGUGAAACAUGUACCGUCGUUAUUAUUUAUCGCUUAUCUUAAAUGCUCUAUUAAUGCCAUUUACGUUUCAGUUGAAAUCAUCCGUCCUGCCACGUGUUGUGCCGGGCAGAUAUUACACACCGAGCGAAGAUUCGUGUGUAUUUAGAGCGACUCAGGAGUGUGAAACGUCAAGCCCUCAGAAGUUAUCCCGAUGCCCUUGUUAUGGUUCAUGCAUGUGGAAUUUAUGUGCAAGACAGUCCAUGCAAGUGCUGUGCAGUCUGAUGGAUGCAACAAUGGAGUCGUUUGUGUUGUGUUGUGUUUUCUUUCGUGUCUCCGUGCCCAGGCUUCUUCAAAAUGGAUGUACCUUUCGCAUUGGUAAGCGCAAGUGUACGAUUCCAAUUGUGACGUGCUAAUAAAAUGCUGUGACCAGUAACAGUUGUCUACGUAUAUAUUCUAUCUCAUCCACACAAAUAGUAUACGUCAAGUUCUUCUCAAAAGCGGAGUCAAUAUUUCCCUACAAGAUCUAAAUGCCCCGUCAUUACGGGUAGAGAUAUGCCACCGGUAGGCACAGCACGAAUAAUAGCAGAGAUUCUUACCAUUUCGGGUAAAAAAUUAUCUUCCAAUAAAGGAGAACAGUUCUACUCACGGUAGAACUAUCUUCCGGGAAUGGUUGAAUAUUUAGCGUCAAGAUGGGCAGAAAUUUCUCAUCCUUGGGGUAGAGGUGUCUUCCAUAUGGAGAGAAAAGAUAGACCCCUCCGAGGAAUAACAGUUAACCAUGUAGGGGCAGAAUUUUGCCACUAACAGGGUAGAAUUCUCUUCUCACUCAGGGGUAGAACUGUUCCACCUGUGGGGUAGAAAUGAAGGGGUAGAAGUGUUUCUACCCCUCACUUUCUACCCCAAAAGGGUUGAGAAUCUGUGACAACACACUUCUACCCCAAAAGGUAGAAAAUUACACCUUUUUUUCUUAGAGUGUAGUUUGUUGCCAGCAACGAUGCUGGAGAACAUUUCCGCAACAUUGCGACAGCGUCCCAGCCACAUUCCUCCAACACAAAUAAAACAUAGAGGGAACGUUUGUGUUAUGUUGCUGCAACAUUGAGACAGCGUCACAAUCAUAUUCCGUCAACGCAAAUAAAUAUGGAGGAACAUUUGUGUUAUGCUGCUGCAACAUUGAGACAGAGUAACAGUAACAUUUUC